rnacentral:rRNA from 1 species
UACGUAGGGUCCGAGCGUUGUCCGGAAUUACUGGGCGUAAAGAGCUCGUAGGUGGUUUGUCGCGUUGUCCGUGAAAACUCACAGCUCAACUGUGGGCGUGCGGGCGAUACGGGCAGACUGGAGUACUGCAGGGGAGACUGGAAUUCCCGGUGUAGCGGUGGAAUGCGUAGAGAUCGGGAAGAACAUCAGUGGCGAAGGCGGCCUGCUGGGCUGUUGCUGACGCUGAGGCGCGACAGCGUGGGGAGCAAACAGG